AGCUUCAUGGCGCAGUGGAAGCGCGCCGGGCUUGUAACCCGGAGGUCCUCCGGUCGAAACGGAGUGAAGCUA